UCCUCGAUGGUCUAGUGGCUAUGAUUUCCGCUUGUCAUGCUAUGGCAUUGCAAUGCGCGGGAGACCAGUGCGUACUCGACCAUUAUACUCUUCCCAUAUCAAAUGAUCGCUGACAUUAAAACUCAGGGGUUCGAUUCCCUGUCGAGGAG